rnacentral:rRNA from 1 species
GCAGCCGCGGUAAUACGGAAGGUCCAGGCGUUAUCCGGAUUCAUUGGGUUUAAAGGGAGCGUAGGCCGCCUUUUAAGCGUGUUGUGAAAUGUAGGGGCUCAACCCCUGCACUGCAGCGCGAACUGGAGGGCUUGAGUACACACAAAGUAGGCGGAAUUCAUGGUGUAGCGGUGAAAUGCUUAGAUAUCAUGAAGAACCCCGAUUGCGAAGGCAGCUUACUGGAGUGUAACUGACGCUGAAGCUCGAAAGCGCGGGUAUCGAACAGGAUUAGAUACCCC